CCUACGGGCGGCUGCAGUGGGGAAUAUUGGACAAUGGGCGAAAGCCUGAUCCAGCCAUGCCGCGUGUGUGAAGAAGGCCUUCGGGUUGUAAAGCACUUUCAGUGGGGAAGAAAGCCUUGGGGCUAAUACCCUCGAGGAAGGACAUCACCCACAGAAGAAGCACCGGCUAACUCCGUGCCAGCAGCCGCGGUAAUACGGAGGGUGCGAGCGUUAAUCGGAAUUACUGGGCGUAAAGCGCGCGUAGGCGGUCUGAUAAGCCGGUUGUGAAAGCCCCGGGCUCAACCUGGGAACGGCAUCCGGAACUGUCAGGCUAGAGUGCAGGAGAGGAAGGUAGAAUUCCCGGUGUAGCGGUGAAAUGCGUAGAGAUCGGGAGGAAUAACAGUGGCGAAGGCGGCCUUCUGGACUGACACUGACGCUGAGGUGCGAAAGCGUGGGUAGCAAACAGGAUUAGAUACCCCGGUAGUC
rnacentral:rRNA from 1 species